AUUGAACGCUGGCGGCAUGCCUUACACAUGCAAGUCGAACGGCAGCACGGGUGCUUGCACCUGGUGGCGAGUGGCGAACGGGUGAGUAAUACAUCGGAACAUGUCCUGUAGUGGGGGAUAGCCCGGCGAAAGCCGGAUUAAUACCGCAUACGAUCUACGGAUGAAAGCGGGGGACCUUCGGGCCUCGCGCUAUAGGGUUGGCCGAUGGCUGAUUAGCUAGUUGGUGGGGUAAAGGCCUACCAAGGCGACGAUCAGUAACUGGUCUGAGAGGACGACCAGCCACACUGGGACUGAGACACGGCCCAGACUCCUACGGGAGGCAGCAGUGGGGAAUUUUGGACAAUGGGCGAAAGCCUGAUCCAGCAAUGCCGCGUGUGUGAAGAAGGCCUUCGGGUUGUAAAGCACUUUUGUCCGGAAAGAAAUCCUUGGCCCUAAUACGGUCGGGGGAUGACGGUACCGGAAGAAUAAGCACCGGCUAACUACGUG
rnacentral:rRNA from 1 species